rnacentral:lncRNA from 1 species
UCCUUUUCGGUGCUUGGCUGGAACAGGAGCGCAGCGGACAAACCUCGCUGGCCCGCGCUGCUGAGGACUGGAGGGGGGAGGACAGUGUCGCGAGUCGCAGAGUCGGGAGAGUCGGCUUCCCAGCAGCGCUGCCCUCAGACGGCUAGGGGCCGGGGGGCGCCCGAAGUGGGUUUAAGACUUCCCCUCUCCGAUCUGCGAACUUUUCAAGGGAGAAACUGGAUUUGUGAGUUCAUCCUUCAGUGAUUGAUGUGUUUUAAGCCACAAGGCAGUCAUGCCGUAGAAUGAGAAUCAAAAAAUGGAACCUUUUCUCAAGAAUUUCAAGAUUAUGGAUCUGUACUUCUCAUAGAAUUUCAAGAGUUGGAAGUUAACUUUAUUAAGAUCCUCUAUUCUCAACAUGUCACUGAUUAAUCAUCAGCUCCCCAGAGAAGAUCAUUCAGCCUCUGCCUGGAGGUUUCCAAUGAGGGCUUGCCUACUAUUGCACAUGGCAGCAUGUUCUACUUCUGGACAUCUCUAAUUGUUAGAAAAAUUUUCCUUAUGUAAAUUUGUUUCUCUGUUCCUUCUACUUGUUGCUUCUAGUUUUAAUUAUCAUUUUCUUUUUAGUAUAUAGUCCCUUUCUUAAAAAAAUUUGCAUUGAUAUUCAUUAGAAAUAUUGAUCUGUAAAUGUUUUUGUCUAAUCUCUCUCUGGUUUAGGUAUUAAGAUUAUAUUGGUAGCAUAAGUUGAGGUUUUCAUUUUCUUCCCAUUUUUAUAGGUUCUUUAAUAACAGAAUUCAUUUGUUUGAAUGAUUAGUAUAAUUCAUUUAUGAAUCCUUCCAGUCCUGGUCUUUUUCUUUUAGAAGAUCAUUUACUUUGUUUAAUUUGUUUUCCUGAAAUUAUAUUGUUUUCUAUUUUGUGUUCUUUUAAUUUGUGUAUUUUAUAUUUUUGUAAAUAUGCAUUUCUCACAUCCUCUAAUAAUCCAUCAGUUGUCAACCUAUAAUAGGGCAAAAUACCUUUUAAUAAUUCCACUUAAUCUUAAUUUCUUCCGAUUUUUCCUUUUUAUUUUUGAUACUGGUAAUUUGAUUUUCUUCUUUCACUUUUUAAAUCACAGUAGUAAAUGGUUUUUCUUUUUUCUUUUUUUCCAAAAAGUCAAAUCUUUGUUUUGUUUAGCAGUUCAAUAGCUUUUUUUUUUUUUGCUUUCAAUUUUUUAAUCUCUCUUUUGAUUUUAUCAUUUUCUAUUUGAGUACUUAGUAGAGACAUUUUGAUUGGUUCCUUGUCUAACUUUUUAGUUGCAUGAUCAGUUCGUUCA